GUGUCAGCAGCCGCGGUAAGACGAACCGUGCGAACGUUAUUCGGAAUCACUGGGCUUAAAGGGCGCGUAGGCGGGUCCGGCAGUCAGGGGUGAAAUCCCACGGCCCAACCGUGGAAGUGCCUCUGAUACUUCGGACCUCGAGGGAGGUAGGGGCGUGCGGAACUCAGGGUGGAGCGGUGAAAUGCGUAGAUAUCCUGAGGAACACCGGUGGCGAAAGCGGCGCGCUGGAUCUCUUCUGACGCUGAGGCGCGAAAGCCAGGGGAGCAAACGGGAUUAGAUACCCUGGUAGUCC
rnacentral:rRNA from 1 species